rnacentral:rRNA from 1 species
UACGAAGGGGGCUAGCGUUGCUCGGAAUCACUGGGCGUAAAGCGCACGUAGGCGGCUUUUUAAGUCAGAGGUGAAAUCCUGGAGCUCAACUCCAGAACUGCCUUUGAUACUGAGAGGCUUGAGUCCGGGAGAGGUGAGUGGAACUGCGAGUGUAGAGGUGAAAUUCGUAGAUAUUCGCAAGGACACCAGUGGCGAAGGCGGCUCACUGGCCCGGUACUGACGCUGAGGUGCGAAAGCGUGGGGAGCAAACAGG